UCCAAUGUGGUAUAAUGGUGUGAACAUUGGACUGUGACUCUGGAGACCAGGGUUCAAAUCCCUGCUCAGCCA